GGAUUCGCUGGCACAAAUUAAUAGAAAAGAGGUAGAGUGGAUCUACCAGCUAGGGACCCUACAACCAGGUGGGCUGAACAUAGAAUUUGAUUUGAAACCAUGCAUAUUGUAAAGUACCUCGUUUUGGUAAUGGUAUUUGGG